UCGGGAAUCUUCCGCAAUGGGCGAAAGCCUGACGGAGCGACGCCGCGUGAGCGAUGAAGGCCUUCGGGUUGUAAAGCUCUGUGGGGAGGGAAGAAUAAGUUCAGAUUAACACUCUGAAUGAUGACGGUACCUCCUUAGCAAGCACCGGCUAACUCUGUGCCAGCAGCCGCGGUAAGACAGAGGGUGCAAACGUUGUUCGGAUUUACUGGGCGUAAAGCGCGUGUAGGCGGCUUUACAAGUCGGAUGUGAAAGCCCACGGCUCAACCGUGGAAGUGCAUCCGAAACUGUAUCGCUGGAGUCCCGGAGAGGAAGGUGGAAUGCUUGGUGUAGAGGUGAAAUUCGUAGAUAUCAAGCAGAACACCUGCGGCGAAGGCGGCCUUCUGGACGGUGACUGACGCUGAGACGCGAAAGCGUGGGGAGCAAACAG
rnacentral:rRNA from 1 species